rnacentral:rRNA from 1 species
UAGGGAAUAUUGGACAAUGGGGGCAACCCUGAUCCAGCCAUGCCGCGUGAGUGAAGAAGGCCCUCGGGUUGUAAAGCUCUUUUGUCCGGAAAGAAAAGCAUUCGGUGAAUACCCGGAUGUUCUGACGGUACCGGAAGAAUAAGCACCGGCUAACUUCGUGCCAGCAGCCGCGGUAAUACGAAGGGUGCAAGCGUUACUCGGAAUUACUGGGCGUAAAGCGUGCGUAGGUGGUUGUUUAAGUCUGAUGGGAAAGCCCUGGGCUCAACCUGGGAAUUGCAUUGGAAACUGUGCAGCUAGAGUGCGGUAGAGGGUAGUGGAAUUCCCGGUGUAGCAGUGAAAUGCGUAGAGAUCGGGAGGAACAUCUGUGGCGAAGGCGACUGCCUGGACCAGCACUGACACUGAGGCACGAAAGCGUGGGGAGCAAA